ensembl:snRNA U6 U6 spliceosomal RNA
AUGCUUGCUUUGGCAGCACAUAUACAAAACUGAAACAAAAGCAGAGAAGAUUAGCAUGGCUGCUGCACAAGGAUGAUAUACUAAUUUGUGAACCAUUCCCCAUUUUU